AGUGCACGCUUGCGGUAGGCCUAACACAUGCAAGUCGAACGAGUGGCGGACGGGUGAGUAAUACAUCGGAAUCUACUCUGUCGUGGGGGAUAACGUAGGGAAACGUACGCUAAUACCGCAUACGAUUGAAUGCGCCGAUGUCGGAUUAGCUAGUUGGCGGGGUAAAGGCCCACCAAGGCGACGAUCCGUAGCUGGUCUGAGAGGAUGACCAGCCACACGGGAACUGAGCCAAGGUCCAGACUCCUACGGGAGGCAGCAGUGGGGAAUAGUGGACAAGGGGCGCAAGCCUGAUCCAGCCAUGCCGCGUGGGUGAAGAAGGCAUUCGGGUUGUAAAGCCCUUGUGUUGGGGAAGCGGUACCCAACGAAUAAGCACCGGCUAACUUCGUGCCAGCCGCCGCGGUAAUUC
rnacentral:rRNA from 1 species